UGGGACAUGCCAGACAGUUUCCAUGAGGGCAUGUCCUCACAAUGAGAUGCUGGACCAUCCCAGAGUUGUGGCUGCGUGAGAAUAGGGGGAAAGGUGGCUUAUUUCCAGGGGGAGGGAGCUGUGGCUCACAUGAGCCACCGUGCACACAUCCAGGGACAAGGGAGCAGGAGGGUGAGCGGGGACAUUCCUCUGCGGUCACCGAGCCCAAGACACCAGGAUGGGGACAGAGAGACAAUGGUGGUGGUGGAGCUGGCCAAGAAGACCUUGUAGUGUGAGGGGAGGAAGAGUGAAGAAGCACAAGAUUUUCAAAGGCAGAUCUGACCAUGCAGCAGUCACGAGCCAUGCAAACAACUCACCCUUUGGAGGUCAAGAGCGGAGUAUGACACCUGUGAGUAAAUACUGGAUCCAGGACCUGGGAGGGCACCUCUUCCCUGCCAGCUGGUGACAGAGGAAUUUUUUUCCUGGUCCCUGGUCAAGAUGUUCUCAUCAAGAUAAAAUCUGAGGGGAAUGGCUCCUCCCGUCCUCACUGCCUGGACACCCGGGGCUGGCACAGCCUUGAAGCACUGCUGGACCCUGGCUCUCAAACCACCUUGUCCUUUCCAGUAAUUACUGUUUUGCAAUGUGAAAACAAUAAAAGUCUUGGGUCUGUUAA